rnacentral:rRNA from 1 species
CCCUUAGAUGUUCUGGGCUGCACGCGUGCUACACUGAUAUUGCCAAUAUGUCAUUCUUAUCCGAAAUGGAUUGGGUAAUCAAGUAAUGAAAUUUCAUGCUUGGAAUCGGUAAUUGCAAUUUUAUCGUGAACGAGGAAUUCCUAGUAAGCACUAGUCAUCAGCUAAUGUUGAUUAUGUCCUUGCCCUUUGUACACACCGCCCGUCGCUACUACUGAUUGGGUGUUCAAGUGAGAUGCUUAGACCCUUGUUGCAUGGUUCAUUAUUGUGCUCCGAAAGGAAAAAGUUUCAAGCUUGAGUGUCUAGAGGAAGUAAAAGUCGUAACA